AGCUCCAAUAGCGUAUAUUAAAGUUGUUGCAGUUAAAAAGCUCGUAGUUGGAUUUCUGGGAGGGUGCUAAUGCCCGCCGUAGCGCGCGCGCAGCAGCGCCCUUCCAUCCUUCUGUUAACGCCUCUUGGCAUUCAUUUGCUGGUGGCGGGCUCAGAUAUUUUACCUUGAGAAAAUUAGAGUGUUUCAGGCAGGCUAGGCCGGAAUAUAUUAGCAUGGAAUAAUGGAAUAGGACUAUGGUCUCUUUGUUGGUUUGAGGGACUGCAGUAAUGAUUAAUAGGGAUAGUUGGGGGCAUUAGUAUUUAAUUGUCAGAGGUGGAAUUCUCAGAUUUGUUAAAGACUAACUUAUGCGAAAGCAUUUGCCAAGGAUGUUUUCA
rnacentral:rRNA from 1 species